GGGGGGUACCAGAGUUUGAGAACUUCAGUAUGGGGAGGAAUUAGCCAGAGAGGAAGGGAGAGGAAUAUUCCUCUAAUGGAACACACACAGCACAAUCACAGAAGAGGCUGAGAGUGUUUACGAACCUGCAAGUGAUUUCUUGUACCUGGAGGGUCCUCUGUGUGUUUCAAGGGAUGAGACAAGAUACACCGGUGGGGCCAGAAGUUCCCUCAGAGGACUAGGAGGUUUGGCCAGCUUUGCCCACACUGAGGGACCAGAGGGUCAUUCUUCCUGGUGCUUCUGUGCUUCUUCAGAGGAGUCCAGGUAGAAAAAGACUUGCUCCAAAGAGAGAUGAUACUAAUGGUGAAGAUUCAGACAUUGUGUCUGAUUAAAGGGUGGUUCCUAGAAUGGUGAUGCCAAGUACAGGAAGUAGAAGAGAGUCCAAAGCUGCUUUGGGAAGCCUUCCUUUAACUCAUGCUAUGAGAAGUUGGGUGGCCUAGGUUCAGAACCAGGGUGCGUCUCUAAUGCUGUGCAAACUCGGGUGAAUCCUCUCUGGGUAAGUCUAGGUUUCUCUAUUUAAGAAACAUAAAGGGGAUGUUGCUGGUCAUCCAGUAGCUAGCCUCUGAAUUUCCACUGCAAGGGUGGGGGUUCCAUCCUUUGUUGGGGAACUAAGAUCCCACAUACCACAUGGCCAAAAAAAGAAAGAAAGAAACAUGGAGGGUGUGGAGAACGAACAAACUGGUCCUCUCAAAGCUCUCUGAUUUUAUAAUAAGAGCAAAGAAACUUAUUGCAGUUUUCUAUGAUCCUAUAAUUUGGCUUCUCUAUUUUCUUUAGCCUGUGAGCAUCUUGAGGGCAAAAAUUAUCUCAUUUAUUCCAGAAUUCACAGAUUCAAGCAAGGACCUGUCACAUAAGAAAUGCUCGAAGUAACUAAGCUGAAGCUGAUGUUUACCGUCCCGGGCAUGUGUCAUCUUCUAUUUAUGCAUGCAAAACCUGCAAGUCUAUUGUUACAUAUAUUUCAAAAGUUUAUAUAAAUGGUAUAAUACUGUACACAUUUCUUUGCCAUUUAUUUUUUCAUUCCAUAUUUAUGUUCUGGAGAUUUACCAUAUUGGGAACAUGUUGAUCUAGUUUGUUCAUUUUAACUGUGAUAGAUGAUUUCAUUGUGUUUAUAAAGCAGCUUAUUUUCCUGUUCUCUUGCUGAGAGGCAGUUAGACUGCUCCUCACUUUUCUAUCACAUACUAAGAUGUGGUGAAUAUCCUUGACCACAUAUCCUUUUGCACAUGAAUAUGAGUUUCUCCAGGGCUUCCCAAGUGGUGCUAGUGGUAAAGAACCCACCUGCCAAUGGAAGAGACAUAGAUUCAGGUUCGACCCCUGGGUUGGGAAGAUCCCCUGGAGGAGGGCAUGGCAACCCACUCCAGUAUUCUUGUCUGGAGGAUCCCAUGGACAGAAGAGCCACAGUCCAUAGGGUCGCAAAGAGUCAGACACAACUGAAGUGACUUGGCAUGCACACACACCUGAGUUUCUCUAGGAUGCAUGGAAAACACUCUGGGUUCUGCACCCAGAUUCUAUGACCUGCAGGUGCAACUCAUCCCCCAGCUGCUGUGAGUGCUGGCUGCUAGGGAUUCACAGCUGCUCACAGCUUCUUGGGAACUUCUUUAUUCAGGAAGUUAUAAGUUACCCACCACCUUGCCCCCUACAUUGGGCAGCCCACAGUCAAUGACUGAUGGAUACAGCCAAUGACUGAUGGAUAAGUCUUAUCCGUCAAUGACUGAUGGAUAAGCCAAUGACUGGUGCAAAAGCCUGGCCUCUUUGCCUCAAGGCAGAUUCACUCUGCAACGUUACUAAUGCUUCAGAGCUCCCCAUGGGGUCAGAUUGAAGAUAAUCUCCAGCUGAGAACCUACCAUCACUUAACAUUUCUUCCUAUCCUAUCUGCCUGACCCUCUCUCUCCACCUGAGAGUCCUCCCUCUAGAAACCACCUGCACAAGGAUCUCGGGCACUGCUUAGGGGACCUAACUUCAGACAGGCACACACCUAACCUAAGGCAGAGCCACUGUGUCUCAGAUUUGCUCAUCUUAAAACGGUUUCCAAAUUGUUCUCCAAAGUAGUUGUACCAAUUUACGUUCCCACCAGCAGUUUACAAACAUUGCUGACCGCCCCCACCCACCACACUCAUCUAUUCCAGUGUUAUAGACUAAUUUUGCCAAUCAGAUUGUGUAAUAUGCUAAUUUUUGUUUUAAUUUGCAUUUCCGUGCUCACUAGUGAUAUUGAGAAUCUUGUUACUAUCUUUAUUGGCGUUCAAAUUUCUUCCCCUGUUAUUUGUCUGUUCACAUCUUUUGUCCAUUUGCUUACUGCUUUGGAAUGUCUAUGGUAAAUUGAUUCUUUGAGGCUUAAAUUUUUUAUUUUGGAGACUAAUUCUCUCUUGGCUGGUUAUCCAAGUUGAAAAUACCUUCUGCCAGCUGUGGCUUUAACAAAUUUGCUUAUUUUUUUGUCAUGUAGACAUUUUUGACUUUAAGGAAAUAAGAUUUAUCAUUUCCUUUCAUUUGUGUUUGUGUCUUAUUUAUUUUCUACUCUGAGAUC
ensembl:lncRNA